UACGUAGGUGGCGAGCGUUGUCCGGAUUUACUGGGCGUAAAGGGAGCGUAGGUGGUUUUUUAAGUGGGAUGUGAAAUCCCUGGGCUUAACCCAGGAAUUGCAUUCCAAACUGGAAGACUAGAGUGCAGGAGAGGAAAGUGGAAUUCCAAGUGUAGCGGUGAAAUGCGUAGAGAUUUGGAGGAACCCCAGUGGCGAAGGCGACUUUCUGGACUGUAACUGACACUGAGGCUCGAGAGCGUGGGGAGCAAACAGG
rnacentral:rRNA from 1 species